UACUAUGACUCUUAUCAAGUAGCGAAUACCUCGUCACUUAAUUAGUGACCUGCAUGAACGGAGCUAUGAGGUUCUCACUGUCCCAAACUGUCUCUCAGCGAACCAACUGUAGUGGGAACGGUCACUAGAUAUCCAGCGGGGAAAGAAGACCCUGUAGAGCUUCACUUUGGUCUAGUCUUGUAUAGUUCCUGCGGGGGUGUAGACUAGGUGGGAGAGCAAUCGAUUCUGAAAAACCACUACCCUGUUUGGAAUUAUGCUUACCUAUCACAAGGAAUAGGACUAGAUAGAAAGUUUGGCUGGGGCGGCACACCUUCGAAAGAGCAGCGAAGGUGUCCUAAGUUGAGCUCAGUGAGGACAGAAAUCUCACGUUGAGGAUAAGGCCAAAAGCUCAAUUUACUGUGCCUUUUUGUACUAGGAUCAGUUACGAAAGUAAGGCCUAACGAUCCCUAAAUAGCCUCAGGUGCGUGAGGAUUGGGGUGACAGACAAGUUACCUCCGGGACAACUGGCUUGUGGCUGCUAAGAGAUCAAAUCAACGCAGCUUUUUGAUUCUUCGAUGUCGGCUCUUCCUAUCCUAGUGAUGUACAAGUUGCUAAGGGUCGGAUUGUUCACCCGUAUUAGGGAUCGUGAGCUGGGUUUAGACCGUCGUGAGCCAGGUUUGUUUUAUCCUACUGGAUAUAGCAUCAUGAUAGUAGAUUGAUUUAGUACGAGAGGAACUGUUGAUUAUGGCCUCUGGUUAGCGAUUAUCGGAAACGGUAUGUCGCGCAGCUACGCCGUCUGGGAUAAUGGCUGAAAGCCUCUUAAGCCAGAAGCCCAUCUAGAAAGUGAUGCACGUGAUGUUGGACCGAUACGAAUAAUCAUACUCAAAAGGUCCGCUUCAUAGGUAACCCAAUGUAGAAGACAUUGUGUGAACGAAGGUACUGUAAGCAGUGGAGUGGCAUUACGUCCACGACCUGUUGAGGUUCAGCUUCGCUUCUAGGUUUCC
rnacentral:ncRNA from 1 species